GGUUAAGUCCUAUAACGAGCGAAACCCUUUUACUUAAUUGYYAGCACGUAAUGGUGGGAACUUUAAGUAGACUGCCCGUGUAAGCGGGAGGAAGGAGARGAUGAGGUCAAGUCAUCAUGGCCUUUAUGCCCAGGGCUACACACGUACUACAAUGGCAUGUACAAAAGGAAGCUACUUGGUAACAAGAUGCAAAUCUCAAAAGCAUGUCUCAGUUCGGAUUGAGGUCUGCAAUUCGACCUCAUGAAGUUGGAAUCGCUAGUAAUCGCGUAUCAGCAAUGACGCGGUGAAUACGUUCUCGGACCUUGUACACACCGCCCAUCAAGCCAUGGGAGUUGGUAGAGCUUGAAGACAGUG
rnacentral:rRNA from 1 species